GAUGAACGCUGGCGGCGUGCCUAAUACAUGCAAGUCGAGCGAACAGACGAGGAGCUUGCUCCUCUGACGUUAGCGGCGGACGGGUGAGUAACACGUGGAUAACCUACCUAUAAGACUGGGAUAACUUCGGGAAACCGGAGCUAAUACCGGAUAAUAUAUUGAACCGCAUGGUUCAAUAGUGAAAGACGGUUUUGCUGUCACUUAUAGAUGGAUCCGCGCCGCAUUAGCUAGUUGGUAAGGUAACGGCUUACCAAGGCAACGAUGCGUAGCCGACCUGAGAGGGUGAUCGGCCACACUGGAACUGAGAGACGGGCCAGACUCCUACGGGAGGCAGCAGUAGGGAAUCUUCCGCAAUGGGCGAAAGCCUGACGGAGCAACGCCGCGUGAGUGAUGAAGGUCUUCGGAUCGUAAAACUCUGUUAUUAGGGAAGAACAAAUGUGUAAGUAACUAUGCACGUCUUGACGGUACCUAAUCAGAAAGCCACGGCUAACUACGUG
rnacentral:rRNA from 1 species